UGUGACAUCUGAAAUCUCCUAAAAAUUAUGCAUAUAUUGCAUGAAGCUGAUGUAUGCAUGAUUGCAUAUCUUGGUAUUAUAUAUUGUAUUGAUGGCGUGUGGUGAUGGAAUUUCAUGGCGUUUGGUGAUGGAAUGCGGUUGUGUAUCGGAGCUGACUUCAGCAAAGUUCAAACUUCAAACUGCAGUUUUCCUUCAUAGCUCAGUCACAAAAUACAAUGGGAAGAAACUAGUGGAGGAAAUAUACUUCGAACUCCUGGAUUGCAAUUUCCAAAUGGCUAUCAUGUUAAACUCAAGAAGAAAGAGAUCUAGAGAAAGAAGAAUUUGAAGCAAAGGAAGAAUAAUAAUCUACAAGACCUAAGAUGGAUACUAUAAAGUGUGUACUAUAACCAAAUUAAAGGAAUUUAUUUCCAAUUACAGC